GCCAGUGUGGUGUAGUGGUCUAAACAUUGGACUAUGACUCUGGAGACCAGGGUUCAAAUCCCCAUUGAGUA
rnacentral:tRNA from 1 species